rnacentral:lncRNA from 1 species
CCCGGGCUACGGGACAGCCCCACAGGGCUGGACGCACGCUGUUGUCAGUCUUUUCUGUAACAAAUGAUGAUUCAAUAGGUCAGCUUGGAACUUGUCAUUAUAUAUGCGCGCAGGAGCAGCCACAGGGUGAAUUCCCAGCAGCCAGAUUGCUGGGUGAAGUAAGUGCAUUGACACUUCUGAUAGAUGAGAAAUCCCUGUCCACUGUCGCUUCCUUUGCCCAGUGGACCUCCUCCCAGCAAGGGCUGGGCGCCGCUUCCGCAGCCGAACAUGCUGGAAAACUCUGGGGGUUUUGCCAAUCUGAUUUGAAGAUAAAAAGCCAGAAUUAAAGAUGCCAAGAGCUCCUCGUGACUUUGGUCUGUAAUUUUCCAAGCCUUCACCAGAGGUCCAUUCCAUGUCACCUCCAGAAAGAUUUUUGAACCUGAAGAUGGUGCUGAGAUGCCUCUGACCCAAGACGGUGGAGCUCCACCUACCUGAGGCCCUGACU